rnacentral:rRNA from 1 species
GACGAACCGUGCGAACGUUGUUCGGAAUUACUGGGCGUAAAGCGCACGUAGGCGGCUUUGCAAGUUAGAGGUGAAAGCCCGGGGCUCAACUCCGGAAUUGCCUUUAAAACUGCAUCGCUUGAAUCCAGGAGAGGUGAGUGGAAUUCCGAGUGUAGAGGUGAAAUUCGUAGAUAUUCGGAAGAACACCAGUGGCGAAGGCGGCUCACUGGACUGGUAUUGACGCUGAGGUACGAAAGCGUGGGGAGCAAACAGG